AUUGAACGCUGGCGGCAGGCCUAACACAUGCAAGUCGAGCGAGCGGCGGACGGGUGAGUAAUGUAUGGGGACUGCCCGAUAGAGGGGGAUAACUACUGGAAACGGUAGCUAAUACCGCAUACUAUCGGAUAACCCAUAUGGGAUUAGCUAGUAGGUGGGGUAAUGGCUCACCUAGGCGACGUUCCCUAGCUGGUCUGAGAGGAUGAUCAGCCACACGGGUACGGGGACACGGCCCAGAUUCCUACGGAGGCAGCAGUGGGGAAUAUUGCAAAAGGGGGGCAAGCCGGAUGCAGCCAGGCGGCGUGUAGGAAGAAGGCCCUAGGGUUGUAAAGUACUUUCAGUCGGGGGGCGUUACCGACAGAAGAAGCACCGGCUAACUCCGUGCCAGCAGCCGCGGUAAUAC
rnacentral:rRNA from 1 species